rnacentral:rRNA from 1 species
AGCGAACGCUGGCGGCAGGCCUAACACAUGCAAGUCGAACGAACUCUUCUGUGUUAGUGGCGGACGGGUGAGUAACCCGUUGGAACGUUCCUUUUGGUUCGGAAUAACCCAGGGAAACUUGUUCUAAUUACGCAUGUGCCCGUCGGGGGAAAGAUUUAUCGCCAGUAGAGCGGCGCGCGUCUGAUUAUCUAGUUGGUGAGGUAACGUCACAUCACGGAGAAGAUCAGUAGCUGGUCUGAGAGGAUGACCAGCCACACUGGGACUGAGACACGGCCCAGACUCCCACGGGAGGGAGCAGUGGGGAGUCUUGCGAAAUGGGAGAAAGCGUGACGGAGCCAUGCCGUGUGAAUGAUGAAGGUCUUAGGAUUGUAAAAUUCUUUCCCCGGAGGAGAUAAUGACGGUACCCGGAGAAGAAGCCCCGGCUAACUUCGUG